rnacentral:rRNA from 1 species
GUGAGGAAUAUUGGUCAAUGGGCGAGAGCCUGAACCAGCCAAGUCGCGUGAAGGAAGAAGGAUCUAUGGUUCGUAAACUUCUUUUGCAGGGGAAUAAAGUGCGGGACGUGUCCUGUUUUGUAUGUACCCUGCGAAUAAGGAUCGGCUAACUCCGUGCCAGCAGCCGCGGUAAUACGGAGGAUCCAAGCGUUAUCCGGAUUUAUUGGGUUUAAAGGGUGCGCAGGCGGGUUGAUAAGUCAGCGGUGAAAGUUUGCAGCUUAACUGUAAAAUUGCCGUUGAAACUGUCGAUCUUGAGGGCAAAUGAGGUAAGCGGAAUGUGUUGUGUAGCGGUGAAAUGCUUAGAUAUAACACAGAACACCGAUUGCGAAGGCAGCUUACUGGGAUGCAACUGACGCUCAUGCACGAAAGCGUGGGGAUCAAACAGGAUUAGAAACCCGAGUAGUCC